GAUGAACGCUAGCGGCAGGCCUAAUACAUGCAAGUCGAACGAUACCAAGGGGCUUGCUCCUUGGAAAAGUGGCGCACGGGUGCGUAACGCGUAUGCAACCUACCUUUAUCAGGGGGAUAGCCCGGAGAAAUCCGGAUUAAUACCGCAUAAAAUCACAGGAUGGCAUUAUCCAAUGAUCAAACAUUUAUGGGAUAAAGAUGGGCAUGCGUGUCAUUAGCUAGUUGGCGGGGUAACGGCCCACCAAGGCGACGAUGACUAGGGGAUCUGAGAGGAUGGCCCCCCACACUGGUACUGAGACACGGACCAGACUCCUACGGGAGGCAGCAGUAAGGAAUAUUGGUCAAUGGGCGGAAGCCUGAACCAGCCAUGCCGUGUGCAGGAAGAUUGCCCUAUGGGUUGUAAACUGCUUUUAUCCGGGAAUAAACCUACUUACGUGUAAGUAGCUGAAUGUACCGGAAGAAUAAGGAUCGGCUAACUCCGUGCCAGCCGCCGCUGUAA
rnacentral:rRNA from 1 species